CUGGUUGAUCCUGCCAGUGGUCAUAUGCUUGUCUCGAAGAUUAAGCCAUGCAAGUCUAAGUUCAAACGGAAUUUUGAUACGUGGAAACUGCGAAUGGCUCAUUAAAUCAGUCUUAAUUUGGUCGGAGGAAGCUCCCCUUUGUGGGGAGGUAUACGGAUAACCGUACAAAAGGUAGAGCUAAUACGUGCCGAGAAAGCGGGGCCUGUGUUUACACGGGUGCUGCGGGUUUUAUUAGAAUUACAAGACGACGGCUUGUGUCUUUAGGCAUGGGUUUGAGUUGAAUCAUGGUAACAAGAAUGGAUUGCGGGUUGUGCUUGCACGGCUGCGAUGUACCGAUGGAAAGUCUGCCCUAUCACCUGUCGACGGUAGGAUAGAGGCCUACCGUGGGGAUAACGGGUAACGGGGGAUUAGAGUUUUAUACCGGAGAGGGCGCCUGAGAGAUGGCGACCACUUCCAAGGAAGGCAGCAGGCGCGCAAAUUACCCAAUGGCGACAUGCCGAGGUAGUGAAGAACAAUAACGAUGGGCGGGUCUUAGAACUUGCCCAAUUGGAAUGAGUUUAAAUUACAACCCUAUUCGAGGAGCAACUGGAGGGCAAGUCUGGU
rnacentral:rRNA from 1 species